AUUGAACGCUGGCGGAAUGCUUUACACAUGCAAGUCGAACGGCAGCACGGACUUCGGUCUGGUGGCGAGUGGCGAACGGGUGAGUAAUAUAUCGGAACGUGCCCAGUCGUGGGGGAUAACGUAGUGAAAAUUACGCUAAUACCGCAUACGAUCUAUGGAUGAAAGCGGGGGACCUUUGGGCCUCGCGCGAUUGGAGCGGCCGAUAUCAGAUUAGGUAGUUGGUGGGGUAAAGGCUCACCAAGCCAACGAUCUGUAGCUGGUCUGAGAGGACGACCAGCCACACUGGGACUGAGACACGGCCCAGACUCCUACGGGAGGCAGCAGUGGGGAAUUUUGGACAAUGGACGCAAGUCUGAUCCAGCCAUUCCGCGUGCAGGACGAAGGCCUUCGGGUUGUAAACUGCUUUUGUACAGAACGAACAGGUUUCUACUAAUACUAGGAGCUCAUGGCGGUACUGUAAGAAUAAGCACCGGCUAACUACGUGCCAGCCGCCGCCGUAA
rnacentral:rRNA from 1 species